UAAAAAGGCUGGAGGGAUGUGGCUCCUUCGGGAGUGUUAUAACCUUUAGCGGAAUGUGGUGGUCGGGAUUGAGGCUUGCAACGAAUACCUUCAGGGCUGUUCCACCUGGCCUCUCAUCGGAAUUCUGGCGGCGACAGCUUGCUGACGUUGUUAGGAUCGGCCUUCGAACAGGCUAGAGUGUGAGCAAAUUCGUUAAGGGAUGUUGACGUA
rnacentral:rRNA from 1 species